ensembl:snoRNA small nucleolar RNA, C/D box 114-1
UGGAGCAAUGAUGACAACUGGUGUCGUAUGAGUCAUGGAUGAUGAAUUCUCCGUGUCUAGAAUUCUGAGGUACAG